rnacentral:rRNA from 1 species
UUGGGAGCUCACUGGCUUCGGAGUCAUAGGAACUUCGAAGUUAAGCAAGUUUGGGCUAGAGUAAUCCUAGGAUGGGCGACCCACUGGGAAGUUGCUCGUGAGUUCCUAGA